GAUGAAGAAAAGAAGCUGGUUAAAUUCAAGGUGAUAGGGGGAGAUCUAAUGGAUUUUUACAAAUCAUUGUACCUCACUGUUCAUGUUGAAACAAAGGGUGAAGACAAUUUGGUUACUUGGAUCUUGGACUAUGAGAAGUUGAAUCCAGAUAUACCAGAUCCACAUACAUUAAUGGAAUUUUGUCUUAAUGUCACUAAAGAUAUUGAAACUCAUCACUUAACAGGGAGGUUAGAGUCUCAAAUUGAGAUUAAAUCUGAUGGAGAUGUGUUUCAUGAAAUAUUUAGGUAUAGACCACACCAUAUAUCUACUAUGUGCUCUGAUAAGAUUCAGAAUGUUGAUAUUCAUGAAGGUGAAUGGGGAACUGUUGGCUCUGUAAUCUUUUGGAACUACGUACAUGGUAAGUUUACAUUAUACUUAAUUGUUACUAGUUCCUUACACCUUAUACGUAAGUUCAGUUAGGUACUAGAGAAAAUGUUUUUCUGAUUUAUUUCUUAUUUUUUUCAUUUUUGUUUGUAAGCGGAAGCCUUUUUUAAGAUUCUUUUUUUCUAGUUUGGAUAGUGAGUAAAAGAUAUUUUUUUUAAAAUAUAUCCUAGAAAUAUUAUCUCUUUUAGCCGGCACCAGAAACUAUUUACAUACGAUAGCAGAAAAAGUAUAUAAAAUUUGUAUAAUUUUAAUAUAUAAUAUACAUAAUAUAUAUACUUACAAAAAAUAUUUUAUAUAUUUCCAACUAUUAUUUUUACAAUAAUUGUACAAUGUCAGUUUUUCACUAACAAUUUAUCAAAACAUAAAAGGAUAAAAUUAUUGGGUUUGGUUGGUUAGGUAUGAUAAAUAAAAGAAAACUUUAUUUAGUUGGAUUUGGUAGUAAAACAAAUCAUUAAAACACAAGUAAACAGAUGAAAAAUUAUGUUUGAGUCAUUCAAGUUGGAUUAUGAGACAUUUGUUAGUCCAAAUUAACUCGUCCAUCUUGAUCCAAGUAAAUUUUGGAAGAAUUAUGUCCCAAUACAUUAUUGAUUCAAAUCAUUUUGACCUAUUCAAAUUCACUCCUACUCACUCAUUUGAUACUCUUUAUUAUAAUUUGUAUUGUGUAUGACACAUAUGCCUCUAUAAUUAUUGAAAUUCGAAAAGUAAGAGCGUAACAAUGAGUCCUUAAUAUGAGGGCUGAACUUUAGAAAAGGAAUCAUUAAAAUAUUUUUUUUUAUAUUUAUUUGUAGAUGGGAAAGAAAAGGUUGCAAAGGAGAUAAUUGAAGCAAUAGAUGAGGAAAAGAAGUUGGUUAAAUUCAAGGUGAUUGGAGGGGAUUUAUUGGAGACAUACAAUUCAUUUUAUCUCACAGUUCAUGUUGAGACAAAGGAUGAAAACAACUUAGUUACUUGGAUCUUGGAAUAUGAAAAGAAGAAUUCAAAAGUCCCAGAUCCACACACUUUAAUGGAAUUCUGCCUCAAUGUUACUAAAGAUAUAGAGACUCACCAUCUUAAGUCUGACACAUAAAUCCCAUACUAAUGCUUGGAAUUAAGCUGCUGUCUCAUGAAGUUUUAUAAUAAUGCGUGUUGGGAUUAUUGGGCG
rnacentral:lncRNA from 1 species